rnacentral:rRNA from 1 species
GACGAACGCUGGCGGCGUGCUUAACACAUGCAAGUCGAACGGAAAGGCCCUGCUUUUGUGGGGUGCUCGAGUGGCGAACGGGUGAGGAACACGUGAGUAACCUGCCCUUGACUUUGGGAUAACUUCAGGAAACUGGGGCUAAUACCGGAUAGGAGCUCCUGCUGCAUGGUGGGGGUUGGAAAGUUUCGGCGGUUGGGGAUGGACUCGCGGCUUAUCAGCUUGUUGGUGGGGUAGUGGCUUACCAAGGCUUUGACGGGUAGCCGGCCUGAGAGGGUGACCGGCCACAUUGGGACUGAGAUACGGCCCAGACUCCUACGGGAGGCAGCAGUGGGGAAUAUUGCACAAGGGGCGGAAGCCUGAUGCAGCAACGCCGCGUGCGGGAUGACGGCCUUCGGGUUGUAAACCGCUUUCGCCUGUGACGAAGCGUGAGUGACGGUAAUGGGUAAAGAAGCACCGGCGAACUACGU